UACGAAGGGGGCUAGCGUUGCUCGGAAUCACUGGGCGUAAAGCGCACGUAGGCGGCUUGUUAAGUCAGGGGUGAAAUCCUGGAGCUCAACUCCAGAACUGCCUUUGAUACUGGCGAGCUUGAGUUCGGGAGAGGUGAGUGGAACUGCGAGUGUAGAGGUGAAAUUCGUAGAUAUUCGGCAAGAACACCAGUGGCGAAGGCGGCUCACUGGCCCGAUACUGACGCUGAGGUGCGAAAGCGUGGGGAGCAAACAGGG
rnacentral:rRNA from 1 species